AGUGUCGGUAGGUGGCACAGAGGAGAGAGGCCAUGAGUACAUUCAGUGUUCUGGCCUGUGAACAUCUGAAUGAUUAGUAGUCUAACAUU
rnacentral:snoRNA from 1 species